GAAAACUCGAACAAAAACCCCUCACUCACUUCUAUAAGAAAAGUCCAUGUGAAAAGGACCGCCAAAACAAAAAACCUUCAACCCUCCUCUGCCUUCAAUUUUUCCUGCAAUUUUCAGACUCGGGUUUGAAGUGUAUAUAUAGAGAAGAUUUAGAUACAAAAACCCCUUUAAAAACUUAGUUAAUAGAUUCAAAAAGAAGCUAAUCGAUGGCGAGGAGAAAAAGUUUGAAACUUGACCAUGUGUAGAAGCUAAAAAAGUUAAAAGAAGCAAUCUUUUUCUGUCUCAUGGCAUGCGACUACCAGCUGCAUAGAAGAAGAAGAAGAGUUUCAGUUACAUUAAAGGAGUUAAUCCAAAUAGAGAUCUUUGCUUAGUUAUUUCGUUGAUUCUGGUGGGUUGGCUGUGAUCUUUACAAUGAAAAGUCAUCAUCAUCAGUUGCUGUUUAUGUUCUUGGUCUUCUUUGCUCAAAAGAUUGAGCUUCUGACAGCAGAAACAUUCACCGGAACCUAUGGAAUAAACUACGGAAGAAUUGCAGAUAACAUCCCCUCACCAGAUGAAGUUGCUACACUUCUCAGGGCAGCAAAGAUUAAGAAUGUUCGGAUUUAUGAUGCCGAUCACAGUGUCCUCAAGGCGUUUAGUGGCACUGGGCUUCAACUUGUUGUUGGGCUUCCCAAUGGGUUUGUGAAAGAAAUGAGUGCUAACGCUAGCCAUGCCAUGGCUUGGGUUAAAGAAAAUGUGCAAGCAUUCCUUCCCAAGACCAGUGUUUGUGGGAUUGCUGUGGGUAAUGAAAUUUUAGGAGGAGGUGAUUAUGAACUCUGGGAAGCUCUUUUGGGUGCUGUUAAAAAUAUUUACAACGCCGUGGAUAAGCUUGGUUUGGCUGAUGUAGUUCAGAUUUCUACAGCACAUUCACAAGCUGUUUUUGAUAAUUCUUACCCUCCCUCUUCGUGUAUAUUCAGAGAGAAUGUUGCUCAAUUCAUGAAGCCACUCUUAGAGUUCUUCUCACAAAUUGGUUCUCCGUUCUGCUUGAAUGCUUACCCUUUCCUAGCUUACAUGAGUGAUCCAGAGAAUAUUGAUAUUAAUUAUGCUCUUUUCCAGAAAACCAAGGGGAUAUAUGAUAUGAAAACAGAUUUACACUAUGAUAACAUGCUUGAUGCUCAGAUUGAUGCAACCUAUGCUGCUCUGGAAGACGCUGGAUUCAAAAAGAUGGAAGUCAUAGUCACAGAGACAGGUUGGGCCUCACUUGGAGAUACUAAUGAAGCUGCAGCAACAGUUAAUAAUGCAAGAACAUUUAAUUAUAACCUGCGUAAGAGGCUUGCAAAGAAGAAAGGUACUCCACUUAGGCCAAAAAUGGUGGUGAAGGCCUAUAUUUUUGCUAUAUUUAAUGAGAAUUUGAAGUCUGGGCCAACUUCUGAGAGGAACUUUGGACUUUUCAAGCCUGACGGAAGCAUUUCAUAUGAUAUUGGGUUUCAUGGACUUUCAUCUGCAGAAUCGUCACUUUUAUCUCUGAAGGCUGUCCAAUCUCAAGGUUUGACCAAGUCCUACAUAUUGAUAUUGACAAUCUCUGCUGCCGCUUUGAUUCUAUUUCUGAAACAAUAAUGUCGGAACAGUCAUUAUUAUAUUAGAGCGAAACCAGCAUUGGAAGUCAAAAUUUCUAGAAAUGGGAAGCAAUAGCAAACCUUAAUGCUGUGUGCCAUGCUGGAUAGUUCUUUUGCAUAUGAAGAGCAAGCAUGAAUCCAUAUUGAGCGGUCUCCAUUCCCAUGGCGGUUUCAUCAACUAACUCCCAUGGCGGUUUCGUCAACAACUCCUGAAUCGCCCCAUCUAUCCACCUGAGAAGAAGUUUGGUUUCGUAGGAAUAAUAAGAAUCAAAGUCCAGGUUGGUUGGUAAGUUUAGUGAUAGGAGACUAUCUAGCUUGGUCCAGAGUGCAUUUGUUGGGUUAAAGAUUUUUUUGUUGCUAAAUGUUACAGCCUUGGAGGCAGGACUCUAAAUAGAUCGCAAUGACGUGCUGAAAUUCUUUCCUGAGCACUCGGAUGCAUGUAAAUGGGUCUUGGUUUGAGAAUCACAUAUUCAUUUACUAGCA